AGAGUUGAGCUAGAAUACUAUUGAUAGCAAACGGGCUCCGUUGUCACCCAUUUGUUUUUGAUGAUAGAGCCUCCAAAUCAACGAUCAGCACCGUUGAACAUGAUCUAUACAACUUAAAGUGUUUAGAAAUCAAAUUUUAAAUCUUUUCGACAUCAUUUGCCUAAUGAUCAAAGGGUUUCAAAAUUUGUAAUUUUAAUAGUCAAUAUGAAGAGUUUUCUCGUUUAAUGGCGUAAAGAUAUCCAAAUCAAUUGAAUUUUUGUUAGAAAAUUAUUUAAACUAUUUAUAACAAGAUCUAUAUUCUUGAUCUUGAUUACAAAACUCCUAUCAUCAUUUUUUAAAGAAUAUUCAUUUUAAGCCGUUUAUUUUUGUGUCCACUCGAUGGAUAAGAGAACAAUAUUGAAAAUGUAUGAAAAUUGAUUUCUAAGUACUUCAAGUAGUAUAGAUCAUGUUCAACGGUACCGAUCAUCGAUUCGGAGGCUCCAUCAUCGAAAACAAAUGGGUGGCAAUAGAGUCCAUUUGCUAUCGGUCAUCGUCCGCGAUGCCCCUCUCUCUCUCUCUCUCUCUCUCUCUCUCUCUCUCUAUAUAUAUAUAUAUAUUUGAAUUUAUACUUUAAAAAUUUUAGAUUUUAAUAAUAUGUUUUGAAAUACAGGUUUGGAUUUGGGUUUUAGAUUUUUUGUUAGAUUCGGUUUGAAUAUGAAUUUUCAAAAUCCAUCAGAUUCAGAUUCGGGUUUCGAAUUUUUUGUCACGUUUGGUUUUGAAUAUAGAUUUUCAAGAUUCGUCAGAUUCCGAUUCAAAUUCAAGUUUCAAAUUUGAUUGUCAGAUUUGGAUUCGAAUUUUUAAAAAUUUGCUUCGAAUCCGACCGGUUGAC
rnacentral:lncRNA from 1 species